rnacentral:rRNA from 1 species
GGUUAAGCGACUAAGCGUACACGGUGGAUGCCCUGGCAGUCAGAGGCGAUGAAGGACGUGCUAAUCUGCGAAAAGCGUCGGUAAGGUGAUAUGAACCGUUAUAACCGGCGAUGUCCGAAUGGGGAAACCCAGUGUGUUCCGACACACUAUCAUUAACUGAAUCCAUAGGUUAAUGAGGCGAACCGGGGGAACUGAAACAUCUAAGUACCCCGAGGAAAAGAAAUCAACCGAGAUUCCCCCAGUAGCGGCGAGCGAACGGGGAGGAGCCCAGAGCCUGAAUCAGUGUGUGUGUUAGUGGAAGCGUCUGGAAAGGCGCGCGAUACAGGGUGACAGCCCCGUACACAAAAAUGCACAUGCUGUGAGCUCGAUGAGUAGGGCGGGACACGUGGUAUCCUGUCUGAAUAUGGGGGGACCAUCCUCCAAGGCUAAAUACUCCUGACUGACCGAUAGUGAACCAGUACCGUGAGGGAAAGGCGAAAAGAACCCCGGCGAGGGGAGUGAAAAAGAACCUGAAACCGUGUACGUACAAGCAGUGGGAGCCUCUUAAUGGGGUGACUGCGUACCUUUUGUAUAAUGGGUCAGCGACUUAUAUUCUGUAGCAAGGUUAACCGAAUAGGGGAGCCGGAGGGAAACCGAGUCUUAACUGGGCGUUAAGUUGCAGGGUAUAGACCCGAAACCCGGUGAUCUAGCCAUGGGCAGGUUGAAGGUUGGGUAACACUAACUGGAGGACCGAACCGACUAAUGUUGAAAAAUUAGCGGAUGACUUGUGGCUGGGGGUGAAAGGCCAAUCAAACCGGGAGAUAGCUGGUUCUCCCCGAAAGCUAUUUAGGUAGCGCCUCGUGAAUUCAUCUCCGGGGGUAGAGCACUGUUUCGGCAAGGGGGUCAUCCCGACUUACCAACCCGAUGCAAACUGCGAAUACCGGAGAAUGUUAUCACGGGAGACACACGGCGGGUGCUAACGUCCGUCGUGAAGAGGGAAACAACCCAGACCGCCAGCUAAGGUCCCAAAGUCAUGGUUAAGUGGGAAACGAUGUGGGAAGGCCCAGACAGCCAGGAUGUUGGCUUAGAAGCAGCCAUCAUUUAAAGAAAGCGUAAUAGCUCACUGGUCGAGUCGGCCUGCGCGGAAGAUGUAACGGGGCUAAACCAUGCACCGAAGCUGCGGCAGCGACGCUGAUGCGUUGUUGGGUAGGGGAGCGUUCUGUAAGCCUGUGAAGGUGUGCUGUGAGGCAUGCUGGAGGUAUCAGAAGUGCGAAUGCUGACAUAAGUAACGAUAAAGCGGGUGAAAAGCCCGCUCGCCGGAAGACCAAGGGUUCCUGUCCAACGUUAAUCGGGGCAGGGUGAGUCGACCCCUAAGGCGAGGCCGAAAGGCGUAGUCGAUGGGAAACAGGUUAAUAUUCCUGUACUUGGUGUUACUGCGAAGGGGGGACGGAGAAGGCUAUGUUGGCCGGGCGACGGUUGUCCCGGUUUAAGCGUGUAGGCUGGUUUUCCAGGCAAAUCCGGAGAAUCAAGGCUGAGGCGUGAUGACGAGGCACUACGGUGCUGAAGCAACAAAUGCCCUGCUUCCAGGAAAAGUCUCUAAGCAUCAGGUAGCAUCAAAUCGUACCCCAAACCGACACAGGUGGUCAGGUAGAGAAUACCAAGGCGCUUGAGAGAACUCGGGUGAAGGAACUAGGCAAAAUGGUGCCGUAACUUCGGGAGAAGGCACGCUGAUGGUAGGUGAAGCGACUUGCUCGUGGAGCUGAAAUCAGUCGAAGAUACCAGCUGGCUGCAACUGUUUAUUAAAAACACAGCACUGUGCAAACACGAAAGUGGACGUAUACGGUGUGACGCCUGCCCGGUGCCGGAAGGUUAAUUGAUGGGGUCAGCGCAAGCGAAGCUCUUGAUCGAAGCCCCGGUAAACGGCGGCCGUAACUAUAACGGUCCUAAGGUAGCGAAAUUCCUUGUCGGGUAAGUUCCGACCUGCACGAAUGGCGUAAUGAUGGCCAGGCUGUCUCCACCCGAGACUCAGUGAAAUUGAACUCGCUGUGAAGAUGCAGUGUACCCGCGGCAAGACGGAAAGACCCCGUGAACCUUUACUAUAGCUUGACACUGAACACUGGUCCUUGAUGUGUAGGAUAGGUGGGAGGCUUUGAAGUGUGGACGCCAGUCUGCAUGGAGCCGUCCUUGAAAUACCACCCUUUAAUGGCUGGUGUUCUAACGUUGGCCCCUUAUCGGGGUUGCGGACAGUGUCUGGUGGGUAGUUUGACUGGGGCGGUCUCCUCCUAAAGAGUAACGGAGGAGCACGAAGGUUGGCUAAUCCUGGUCGGACAUCAGGAGGUUAGUGCAAUGGCAUAAGCCAGCUUGACUGCGAGCGUGACGGCGCGAGCAGGUGCGAAAGCAGGUCAUAGUGAUCCGGUGGUUCUGAAUGGAAGGGCCAUCGCUCAACGGAUAAAAGGUACUCCGGGGAUAACAGGCUGAUACCGCCCAAGAGUUCAUAUCGACGGCGGUGUUUGGCACCUCGAUGUCGGCUCAUCACAUCCUGGGGCUGAAGUAGGUCCCAAGGGUAUGGCUGUUCGCCAUUUAAAGUGGUACGCGAGCUGGGUUUAGAACGUCGUGAGACAGUUCGGUCCCUAUCUGCCGUGGGCGCUGGAGAACUGAGGGGGGCUGCUCCUAGUACGAGAGGACCGGAGUGGACGCAUCACUGGUGUUCGGGUUGUCAUGCCAAUGGCACUGCCCGGUAGCUAAAUGCGGAAGAGAUAAGUGCUGAAAGCAUCUAAGCACGAAACUUGCCCCGAGAUGAGUUCUCCCUGAGACUUAGAGUCUCCUGAAGGAACGUUGAAGACGACGACGUUGAUAGGCCGGGUGUGUAAGCGCAGCGAUGCGUUGAGCUAACCGGUACUAAUGAACCGUGAGGCUUAACCUU